GCCAGGGAGGCCCUAGAGAUGGUUUACACCAUUCCCAUGGCCAUGAAGACCCAGUAGGCACUGCUUCUGCUGCCACCCCAGCUACAGACCAGAGUGACCCCACACAUGGCACCACAGAGACCCUAUGCUUGGCCCAGAGCAAAGGAGGUGCUGCCUUUCUCAGAGUCUGUGAACAUUUUUCAGCAUCUGACAUGUAAAAAAGAAAGUGAGAAUAUUUCUGCACACCUGUGUGAUCUGGAAGAGUCUGCUCAGUUCUGGGAACCUCAAAACAAGAAAAAGAUUCUAGUAAGUCUCUGUUUCCUAAAUGAAAAUAUAAUGAUGUUUAAGAACUGGAUUGAAGAGCAGGAAAAAAAGAACCCUUCAAGUCAUUGAGUUUGAGUAUGGAGAUGUCCAUUGUGAAAAGGUUCAUCUGCAAUCAGGGCUGGAUAAGCCCAAUGGCCAAGUUCAAGAUUGGAUGCAAAGAGUGUAUUUCAAGAAUUCCACACUUGAGUUUGCAAGGUGUACAUGGAAGCAAUUUGGCCCAUUAUCUGAAAACCUCUUUUCACCGCAAAUGAGUGACUUGGUUCAUCCUGUGUCCCUGAAAUUCAGGGCUGGAACUAAGGUGAGAUGGGUUCACCUCAGAAGAAAAACUUGGAGGAGUGAUUAAAAAAAAAUCACUAGUAAUCAAGAUAAAUGGUAUUUCAAUGUAAUAUUCUUAAGAAUCAAAAUUAAUGCAAAAAUCCGUGGUGAAUAAAAUAUCAAAAUAUUGAAUCAUGACGGGCUCAGUAUGAAUUUUUGAGAAGUUGUCUGGUUCUGUGGUUAAGAGAUCCCCUGAGCACACGGGUCACU